GGGCGUGCAGAGUGCAGCUGGUGUCCCUGGCGGAGGCAGAGGCAGGAGGGCCAUGGAGCCAGGCUUUGAGAUCCCCUCGGAGGGGAAGGGGCCACCUUCCAAAGGCCCUGCAACUCCCGCCAGCCUCUGCCAGCCUGGUCCACACUGGGGGGGGGGGCAGACUUCCCAGCAUGCAUUGCCAGCUCUGCCAGGCCAAUGGUCGAUUCCCAGCCUCAAUAAAUUUGAAAUUUGCUGGUUUUUCCAGUGUAUAACCAAAUCAAUCAAUCUCAAGCGGUCACCCUCAGGGGAAACAGGUGUCCCCCCCCCCUUGGAGGAAAUGGACUGAUCGGAACCUGGCUGUGACAUCGGCUCAGAAUCCCAGCCUCACUUUGCAGUUGAGGCCAACAGCCUUUUGGUGGUUUCUCUGCAAGUGAAUCAGGAAAAACUCUUAUUGGACGCCGAGAAAGCAAAGUCUGAAGACUGAUGUCUGGGGAAAUGCAGUCAGCCAUUGAGGAGGACAUUCUCAAUGUCAAGGAGGACGAAGGAAAAGGCGAGGAGGAGACCGCAAAACGGCUGGAUCUCCUCAGCCCUGACUGGGUAGGUGGCCGUGGCCUAAGUGGUGAU